GCGGUCAGAAAGGCGACGGGCUGUCGGAGUUGGAAAGACAGAGUUUUGCUCUUAUUGCCCAGGCUGGAGUGCAAUGGCACGAUCUCAGCUCACUGCAACGUCUGCCUCCCAGGUUCAAGCGAUUCUCCUGCCUCAGCCUCCCGAGUAGCUGGGAUUACAGGGCCUACUGCAGUGCAUGAAGGUGGUAUGGACUCAGAACUCUGAAGUCUGAGGAGACAAAUACAUGCCCACCAUAACAACAUCACACAAUACCUAGAGUCAAAACAGUUAUCCCUAUUCCUACCCCCAACUGAGUUAUUCAAUAAAGCCUGCCUUGUUGA
rnacentral:lncRNA from 10 species